GAUGAACGCUGGCGGCGUGCCUAAUACAUGCAAGUCGAGCGAACAGACGAGGAGCUUGCUCCUCUGACGUUAGCGGCGGACGGGUGAGUAACACGUGGAUAACCUACCUAUAAGACUGGGAUAACUUCGGGAAACCGGAGCUAAUACCGGAUAAUAUAUUGAACCGCAUGGUUCAAUAGUGAAAGACGGUUUUGCUGUCACUUAUAGAUGGAUCCGCGCCGCAUUAGCUAGUUGGUAAGGUAACGGCUUACCAAGGCAACGAUGCGUAGCCGACCUGAGAGGGUGAUCGGCCACACUGGAACUGAGACACGGUCCAGACUCCUACGGGAGGCAGCAGUAGGGAAUCUUCCGCAAUGGGCGAAAGCCUGACGGAGCAACGCCGCGUGAGUGAUGAAGGUCUUCGGAUCGUAAAACUCUGUUAUUAGGGAAGAACAAAUGUGUAAGUAACUAUGCACGUCUUGACGGUACCUAAGCAGAAAACCACGGCGAACUACGU
rnacentral:rRNA from 1 species